AAGACUAUAGACCUGCGGAGUACCUGCGGAAGGAUCAUUACCGAGUGAUGGUUUUUUUCUUUUCUAGAAAGACCGCCUCCCACCCUUGUGUAUUUUUAACGGAAUUCUUUGGCGAGACGCCUGGGAAACCAAGCCGCUGGCGAGAUUUUUGCUGUUGUGCAAAAGGAUUGCGAGUGUGUUCUUGCCAAAGUUUACACUAUUCAAAACUCUUGAUAUUUUUUUUCUAAAUGAAGUCUGAGU
rnacentral:misc_RNA from 1 species